rnacentral:rRNA from 1 species
ACAGAGGUCCCAAGCGUUGUUCGGAUUCACUGGGCGUAAAGGGCGCGUAGGUGGCCUGGUAAGUAGGGGGUGAAAUCUCGCGGCUCAACCGCGGGGCUGCCUUCUAAACUGUCAGGCUUGAGCAGAGUAGAGGCAGGUGGAAUUCCCGGUGUAGCGGUGGAAUGCGUAGAGAUCGGGAAGAAUACCAGUGGCGAAGGCGUUCUGCUGGGCCGUUGCUGACACUGAGGCGCGACAGCGUGGGGAGCAAACAGGA